GUGAUGAACACGACCGCUGUUGAGAGGUGAUUGAGGUAUGCAGCGCUGA
rnacentral:snoRNA from 1 species